rnacentral:lncRNA from 1 species
CGGAAUAGUGAAAGUCAGAAUUGUAGGCAAUUCUAAAUUAAGUAUAUGUUUUCGAGCAAACUAAUAAGAAAAUUGACAAAAAUAAAUAAGAUAUAGAGAUAACAAAAUAGAAAAAAAAUCGACAAAAUAAUAAAAAUAACAAUGCAUAAUAAACAAAAAAAAACAAAACAUAUAAGUCUAAGAAAACAAAAUAAAACAACU